rnacentral:rRNA from 1 species
UGGGGAAUUUUGGACAAUGGGCGAAAGCCUGAUCCAGCCAUGCCGCGUGAGUGAAGAAGGCCUUCGGGUUGUAAAGCUCUUUUAGUCGGAAAGAAAGAGUUGCAAUGAAUAAUUGUGAUUUAUGGCGGUACCGACAGAAAAAGCAACGGCUAACUACGUGCCAGCAGCCGCGGGAAUACGUAGGGGGCGAGCGUUAAUCGGAAUUACUGGGCGUAAAGGGUGCGCAGGCGGUCUUGCAAGUCAGAUGUGAAAGCCCCGGGCUUAACCUGGGAAUUGCGUUUGAAACUACAAGGCUAGAGUGCAGCAGAGGGGAGUGGAAUUCCAUGUGUAGCAGUGAAAUGCGUAGAGAUGUGGAAGAACACCGAUGGCGAAGGCAGCUCCCUGGGUUGACACUGACGCUCAUGCACGAAAGCGUGGGGAGCAAACA